AGCUAGCCGUACCUGAGCUGACAUACCGCUGUACCGUUAGCCGGCAGUCAGUGCACGCGCACACCUCAAUACAAACGGACCGGUCGCGAACAAACACGUUUAUUUUGCGACAAACAUAUUGUGAAUAAUAAUAAACAUCUGAAUUGAGAAGUAAACAACUAACACGUGCAGAGAGAUAAGGAACGCAAAUUGUCACAAGAAUUGGAUAAAAGACGAUCUUACAUAAUGAGGUUACUAAGAAUGUGCAUCUUCACUUUGAUGACUAUUGUAAGCUUCGCAAACAGCCAUUCUCUACAAGGUUAUGUAAAGAACGAGAAGUUGAGGACGGCUUACAGAAUAGUGUACCGGUCACAGCCGUGGCCGGUGGCGCGGGACACGUGUGCGGAGGAAGGCGGCAAGCUGGCCGUGCCCAAGACUGAGGUUACAU